UCCCGUUUAGCUCAGUGGUGGAGCGCAUCACUAGUAAUGAUGAGGUCAGUCGUUCAAGUCGGCUAAUGGGAA